rnacentral:rRNA from 1 species
UACGUAGGGGGCUAGCGUUGUCCGGAUUUAUUGGGCGUAAAGAGCGUGUAGGCGGCCAGGUAGGUCUGGUGUGAAAACUCGAGGCUUAACCUCGAGAUGUCAUCGGAAACCAUCUGGCUAGAGUCCGGAAGAGGAGAGUGGAAUUCCUGGCGUAGCGGUGAAAUGCGCAGAUAUCAGGAAGAACACCAAUGGCGAAAGCAGCUCUCUGGGACGGUACUGACGCUGAGACGCGAAAGCGUGGGGAGCGAACAGG